GAAGCAAGCAAAGCUUAUUUGAGACCUCAAAGCGGUGCUGGAGACUUAGCACGCCUCAGAUCCAGCACCCCUAAAACAGCAGUCUUACCUGCAGGAGACACCA